rnacentral:rRNA from 1 species
UACGGGGGGGGUAAGCGUUGUUCGGAAUUACUGGGCGUAAAGGGCUCGUAGGCGGCCAACUAAGUCAGACGUGAAAUCCCUCAGCUUAACUGGGGAACUGCGUCUGAUACUGGAUGGCUUGGAUUCGGGAGAGGAAUGCGGAAUUCCCGGUGUAGUGGUGGAAUGCGUAGAUAUCGGGAGGAACACCAGUGGCGAAGGCGGUUGCCUGGAGCUUUGCUGACGCUGAGGCGCGAAAGCGUGGGGAGCGAUCCGG